AAGAGGAGCAGAUCCAGAUCCAGUGACAGGAACACCAUGAGGGCGGAGAAGAUGCACAGUGGAGCGUCUCCUAACUGGACAAGGGAACGGCAAUGCCCAGAGAUGGAAAUGUUGUGGAUACAGCCCAGUUCAUCACAGGAAAAGCCAUCCUCAGCAUUGGGCACAUCUACAUGCACUGCUGUAACCGGAAAGCGAGGACUGCCACCUCCCAGGCCAAGCUCUCUUCUCACUUCUAGCAUCGGGCAGGAGGCACAGGAGCCUUAGGCCCCACACUACCAGGUUUAGGAACAGUUAUUACCCCUCAACCAUCAGAGUCCUGAACCAGUGGGAUAAUUUCACUCGCCAUAACUCUGACUGAUUCCACAACAUACAGGCUCCCUGUCAAGGAUGCUACAACUCAUGUUCUCAGUGUUACUUAUUUUUUAUUUGCACAAUUCAUCUUCUUUUGCACUUUGAUUUUUUUCAAACUCGUUUAUAUAUAAUUUCUCAUAAAAUAUUUUGUAUUUCUUUAUUUUCAUCUGAAUGCCUGCAAGAAAAUGAAUGUCAAGGGACUAUAUGGUGACAGAUACGUACUUCAAUAAUAAAUUUACCUUGACUUUGAUCCUUUACUUUAAUAGCAUUAAUAGAUCUUGCUCAUCUCAGAGGGCAAGCUAUGUUGGUGCCAGAAUGUGUGGUAACACUUGCCUGCUGCCCUUAGCACACCCUUAGGUGUGUUGGUUGUUAAUGCCAGUGAGUCAUUUCAUUGUAUAUUUCCAUGUACAUUUCAUAAAUAAACUUGAUUUUUAAAUCUUG